rnacentral:piRNA from 1 species
UUUUAUUGUGAUGAAUGCAUU